AAACACCCCAAUCCAAUUGACUCAGAGUCAGAGACAUCCCGACCAGUCCUUGAUGCUAGAGUGGCCCUUCUGAAAUCAACAAACCAUUCUGGGAAACCCCGGUAGUGUUAAUGCGGCAUUACAACAAAUCCAGGCUCGAAGUCAACAGACCACAGACAUAAAGAGUGAAGUUAACAUGGGCACUGCUCAGAGAUCUUUGCCUAUGGAUUCUUCAAUUUAUGGGCAGGGCAUGAUGCAGUCAAAACCAGGAAUGGGGAAUGCAGUUCAUGUGUCACAGAUGCAUCACUCUUCCUCUCAACAACAACAAGAUCCUUUGCAGCCUGAGCAAGUACAACAGGAUGACAUUGAACAAUUCGGAGAUGUUGGCUCCUUAGAAGAUAAUGUGGAAUCCUUUUUAUCACAUGAUGAUGGAGAUGGAAGGGAUCUUUUUGGCACAUUGAAACGGAACCCUGCACAUUCUGCAGAAGCUUCAAAGGGUUUUUCCUUCAGUGAAGUUGGUUCAAUACGUAAAAGUAGUAGCAAAGUUGUCUGUUGUCUGUUGUCAUUUCUCUUCAGAAGGAAAACUGUUGGCCAGUGCUGGGCAUGACAAGAAGUAGGUUGUUGUCUGGAAUAUGGAAACACUGCAAACUGAAAGCACAUCAGAGGAGCACUCCUUGAUAAUUACUGAUGUUCGAUUUAGACCAAAUUCAGCAAAUUCAACUCAGUUGGCAACUUCUUCAUUUGACACAACUGUGCGACUUUGGGAUGCUGCUGAAGGCAUACCUCGCAUGUAAUGUCACUUGAUUUCCUUCCUAAGAAGAAUAACCUUUUCUGCUCCUGUGAUGCUAACAAUGAGAUUCGCUUUUGGAAUAUCAAUCAGUGUUCUUGCACUCGCGUUUCUAAGAGAGGUUCAACACAGGUGAGAUUCCAGCCGAGAAUUGGACAGUUUUUUGCUGCUGCAUCUGGAAAUGUUGUGUCUAUAUUUGAUGCUGAGAGUGACAGGCAGACACAUUCAUUGCAAUUGUUAAUUUCAACGGAACUUAAAGGGUCACUCCACUGAGGUACACUCUCUUUGCUGGGAUACAAAUGGAGAUUAUUUGGCAUCUGUCAGAGUGUGGUCAUUAUCCUCUGGAGAGUGCAUUCAUGAACUCAGUCCCAGUGGAAACAUGUUCCAUUCUUGUGUUUUCCAUCCAAGCUACUCCACUCACUUGGUCAUUGGAGGCUACCAGUAGUUGGAGCUCUGGAACAUGGCUGAGAAUAAUUGUAUGACCAUUCAGGCUCAUGAGGGUGUAAUAUCAGCUUUAGCAGUCACCAGUCACAGGAAUGGUCGCCUCUACUAGUCUCACGACAAAUCUGUUAAAAUCUGGAAAUAAAGUUUGCUGAUUUUUGCUUCAAAUCCCCAGUUUCAAGUCUGCUGGCUCUUCAUCUCAUCAACUGCAGAGAAAGUCUGAAUAAAUUUUAAACAUAGAAGCUCAUCAUGUAUUUAAUUUGAUUUCAUAUUUUUUAUUGUUUAUUUUCCCUCCAUUGAUAAUUUCUUUUUCUUUUUCUUUUUUCCUUUACAUGUAAUAAGGUGAUGGUAAAAGUUUACCUUAGUUAGAAGCAACUUAUACACGUUAUCUCAAAUAUGGAAUGUUUGAUGGUUUAAUGAAGCAAUGACUUAUGAGGC